GCCUGGCUUCUGCUGGGAUCCAGGAUGGCUCCUGCUUUCAACAGCACAGCCGGCUCUCUUCCCCUGUGUUCUGAGUUCCGUAGACCAGCUGCUGGCUGAAAUAUCGAUACCCCUUCCACGGUGUUCCAGGAGAGGCGCUGGAGAGGGCGUGAGACGUUUCUCUGACAGCAAAGAAUGGAGACUGAGAAGCAAGAAAGGGUCAGCAGAAGGGGACAGCACCAGGUGCAGUGAAGGCUCUGACUGCUGGAAAGAGAAAAAAACACAAAAAAAUUAAUGGACCAGUGUCACUCAAGGAUUCACAGGCAACAAACAUGAGCUAUCUGUUCCUGUUUAGUAUCUCUGCAUCUUCCUGAAGGCUGAGUUUUACUAUUUGACUCCUUCUAUCCCUUUAAAUAGCAGGCUGCA